UACAUAGGGUGCAAGCGUUGUUCGGAAUUAUUGGGCGUAAAGGGCGUGUAGGCGGCUUGCUAAGUCAUGUGUGAAAUCCCUCGGCUUAACCGAGGAACGACGCAUGAAACUGGCAAGCUAGAGUACCAAAGAGGGGGGUGGAAUUCCCGGUGUAGCGGUGAAAUGCGCAGAUAUCAGGAGGAACACCAAUUGCGAAGGCAGCUCGCUGGGACGUUACUGACGCUGAGACGCGAAAGCGUGGGGAGCAAACAGG
rnacentral:rRNA from 1 species